AACGCGAAGAACCUUACCAGGUCUUGACAUCUGCCUGACGAAGCGGCAAUGCGCUUUUUCCUUCGGGACAGGCAAGACAGGUGGUGCAUGGUUGUCGUCAGCUCGUGUCGUGAGAGGUUGGGUUAAGUCCCGCAACGAGCGCAACCCUUAUGCCCAGUAGCCAGCACGAGAAGGUGGGCACUCUGGGGAGACUGCCAGGGAUAACCUGGAGGAAGGUGGGGAUGACGUCAAAUCAUCAUGCCCCUUAUGAUCUGGGCGACACACGUGCUACAACGGCGUAAACAAAGGGAAGCGAGCCCGCGAGGGGGAGCAAAUCCCAAAAACAACGUCCCAGUUCGGACUGUAGUCUGCAACCCGACUACACGAAGCUGGAAUCGCUAGUAAUCGCGGAUCAGCAUGCCGCGGUGAAUACGUUCCCGGGUCUUGUACACACCG
rnacentral:rRNA from 1 species